UACAGAGGUCUCAAGCGUUGUUCGGAUUCAUUGGGCGUAAAGGGUGUGUAGGUGGCGCGCUAAGUCGGGUGUGAAAUUUCGGAGCUUAACUCCGAAACUGCAUUCGAUACUGCCGUGCUUGAGGACUGGAGAGGAGACUGGAAUUUACGGUGUAGCGGUGAAAUGCGUAGAUAUCGUAAGGAAGACCAGUGGCGAAGGCGGGUCUCUGGACAGUUCCUGACGCUGAGGCGCGAAAGCGUGGGGAGCAAACAGG
rnacentral:rRNA from 1 species